rnacentral:rRNA from 1 species
GACGAACGCUGGCGGCGUGCUUAACACAUGCAAGUCGAACGGUAAGGCCUUCGGGUACACGAGUGGCGAACGGGUGAGUAACACGUGGGUGAUCUGCCCCCUACUCUGGGAUAAGCCUGGGAAACUGGGUCUAAUACCGGAUAUGACCUCCUGCUUCAUGGUGGGUGGUGGAAAGUUUUUUCGGUAGGGGAUGAGCCCGCGGCCUAUCAGCUUGUUGGUGGGGUAAUGGCCUACCAAGGCGACGACGGGUAGCCGGCCUGAGAGGGCGACCGGCCACACUGGGACUGAGACACGGCCCAGACUCCUACGGGAGGCAGCAGUGGGGAAUAUUGCACAAUGGGCGAAAGCCUGAUGCAGCGACGCCGCGUGGGGGAUGACGGCCUUCGGGUUGUAAACCCCUUUCAGUAGGGACGAAGCGCAGGUGACGGUACCUAUAGAAGAAGCACCGGCCAACUACGUGCCAGCCGCCGCCGUAACAC